rnacentral:lncRNA from 1 species
GCUUCUCACUAGCUGUGUGACCUCGUAUAAAUCACUGAAGCUCUCUGAGCGCCAGUUUUCUCACCUGUAAAAUGGGGCUAUUAAUAAUACCUACCAUGAUACGAGAGAUGCAGGUCAGAUAGCUAGUUGAGUGCCUCAAGAAAUGUCAGCUAGCUUUAUGAUCAUCAUCAUUAUUAUCGUUCUGGGCAUGUGAGCUGGGUCAUGUCUGCUGGACAGGGCGGCAGGGCAGAGCCUCCCAGGGGGAGGGAAGUUUGGUUUCCUUGGAGACAAAUGUUUGUGGGCUGGGCUGGGCCAACAGCACAUGUUUCUGGGAAAACAAAACAAUGUCAUUUUUCUCCCUCUGGCCCUGCACCCAUCUAAGACCAGGCCCGGGAUCACAGCACGUAAGCGGUAAAAACACAGGAUCGUGCUCCGGUCCCCUGAUCACGGCUGAUUCGCUAGUGUUGACAGACACCUGACUGCAGGCUGACAAGUCUCUCCUGGGGAUGUGAAACUUGAAUGGAGGGCACGCAGGCAGGGGGCGGUGGGAAAUGCGCCACCCCUGGCCAGCGCCCUAGAGAGGACAGCCACGGGCUCUGCCACUGAACCCCCUGGACAUUCCCGAGGAGUCUUCAUGUCUGGGGCGUGCUCUUCUGCCAUCCUGGGAACAGCUCUCCAUAAAUCCACCACUGGGCAACUUGCUACUGGUGGCCAAUGAAUGGAAGUUGUUAGGUGAAGAUUCUGGGAAAUAUCUUUAGAAGACACUGAUGCAGCUGGGAGGAAAGCCAAUUUGCCCUUCCUUCUCCUUCUUCCUACAUGGGACUCAGGCAUUAUGGCUGGAGCCCCAGCAGCCAUCUUGGAUCAAGAAGUGACCUUGACGAUGAAGCCGUAUAGUAAGGAUGAAGCAACACAAAGCUAGAAGGAACCUAUGACGUUGAUGACACCGUGAACCAGCCCUGACCUGGACUGAUCUUUCCAGACUUCUUUUUUCAAAUGAACUUUUUAUUUCAGAACAGUUUUGGAUUUACAGAAUUGUUGCAAAUAUAGUAUGGAGUUCCUAUAUACCCUAUACCCAGUUUCCCCUAUUAUUAAUAUUUUACAUUAGUAUGGUACAUUUAUCACAAUUAAUGAACCGAUAUUGUUACAUUAUUAUUAACUAAAAAGUUCACCCUUCAUUUGGAUUGCCUCUGUUUUCCUGAAUGUCCCUUUUCUGUUCUAGCAUUCCAUCCAGGGUCCUGCCUGACAUUUAGAAGUCAUGUCUCCUUAGGCUCCUCUUGGCUGUGACCGUUUCUCAGACUUUCUUUGCUUUUGAUGACCUUGAUGGUUUUGAGGAGUACUAGUUAGGGAUUUUGUAAAAUGACCCUCAAUUGGGAUUUGUCUAGUGAUUUUCUUAUGGUUAGAGCAGGUAAUGUGUUUCGGGGGGAAGACCACAGAGGUAAAGCGGCAUUGUCCCCCUAUUCCAUCCAGAGCAGACACUGUCAACGUGACUUAUCAGCGUGGAUGUGAGCUCUGGUCACCGGCAGGCUCUCCACUGUAAGAUUUCUUUCCCCCUUUUCCAUGCUGUGCUCCUUGGAACCGGUCACUGUGCCCAGCCCACACUUAAUGAGUGGGGAGUUAUCUUCCCCUCCCUAAGGGUGGAGUAGCUGCAUAAAUUAUUUCGAAUUCUUCUGCAUGGGCAGCUUGUCUCUUCUAUUUAUUUGUUUACUUAUUUACAUCAGUAUAGACUCAUGGAUAUUUAUUUUAUUCUUUGGGUUAUAAUUGUUACGACUUUUUUUUUUUUUGCUGAAAUUGUUCCACCUUUGGCCUCUUUCAGUUAGCUCCCCAGACUUCUUGACGUGACAGAAAAACAAACCGGGGUAGACAUUUUGCAACAAGUCUCCAAUUCCUCCCGUUUGUGUAUGCUCACGCCUUUACAAUGUGACUUUGCAGCUUCCCUCAUCAGGACCUGAAUUGCUCUCUGUCCCUGGAAUCUGGGCUGGGCCAUGAGACUUGCUUUGGCCAAUACGAAAAGGCCAAAGCAUGAAAAGAGCUUGUGUGUGGGGCUUGCUGCACCAGGGACCCUGAGACCACCAUGCGAGCAAGCCCGGGCGAACCUGCUGGAGGAUGAGAGGCCAUGUGGCCCGGUUGCCUCCACCGCCCUUGCCUACAGCCAGACCACAGCCAUGUGAGGGAGGCCUUUGACCGUAGUUGACUGCAGAUGUACGAUGAACCCAGAGACCAGCCGUCCCCACUGGGCCCAGUCCGAGCUGCCAGCCUACCGAGUCAUGCGCAAACCAACGUUUUUUGCUGUUUGAGAUCUAUCAGCUGGAGCGGAGACCUCAUUUAUGAUUGUGCACAAAUAAGUAACCUUCUGGCCAUGCCCUCCAGCCUCGGACCACCAGGAUCACCCCUGUAGGUAAACAAGUGGGGUUCGUGACUCAUUGUGGCAAGAGAGGAUACGUGCCGUGGGGAACCCAAGGUGUCCCUGGAAGGGGGGUGAGAGACGGCUUGUAUGGGAUCCGGGCUUGUGUCCGGAGGUUCGGAGGAGAGUUUAAGGAAGUGGGGUUCUUCUCCGGGUUGGAUGCUGUCAAGAAGUGGGAGAAACUAGAUGGUUGGGAUCCUGGUAAAUCUUCUCUACAGAGAAGGCAGACGGGAGCCAGGAUAACGCUGUCAGGGGAGAAGAGGCAGCCGUCACAGGAUAGCCAGCACGGGGGAUGUUUGGUCAUUUUUGUGCCUUGGAAAUGUUUACGUUUCGAGUUCAGACGUGAUCACAGAGUGAUCUUGCUUUUGUCUUGGUUCAUCAGUCACAGAGCGUCUUGUCCGAGGCUGAUGUUCUGCGGCAUUGUGUUCCACAGGACUUGGCUGUCACCCGAGAGGCUCAGGUGGUUCGGAGCACCACCCAGGCCAAGUGGUCCCGGCCAGCUCCUGGGGGCAGGCUGCCUCCUCUUCCUCCAUCUAGCAGACACUGGUGGGUCCCAGAGGAUGCCUUCUCCCGCCAGAGGGCCGGCCAGAACUCAGCCCCGUUUGUGGCUUCAAUCCUCAGACUCGCCUCAUGGUGCAAGCUGCUGGUGCUCCACCCAUCACACCUACAUCUCAGUGAAUUCCGACGGACAAUGGAGCGUGCACGUGAGCGGAAGAGAUAAACGCAGUCUGGGUGUCCGCCAUCCACACAGCGUGUUCACAGCGUCCCACAAGCAGGGAGCUCUGGUGGCCCCACAGUGCAGGGUCAUUCAGCGAGACUCCGGUGAGCACAAGGUGAGCAUGUGGCGUCUCAGAUCGAGUAAGUAGGGGCGCAUCCCAGAGGCCACGCUUUCUGUUCGAACCAGGAUUUCCUUUGGUCACGGAGACAAAGCCAGUGGUGUUCUAAGAAACACAGACCACCCGGCAACCUUGUCAUAUCCUUUCUUAUCCAUGUCACUUCUCUGUAUCAGCCAACCGCUUACACUGAAAAUGAUGAGACACGGGACACAGCACUGUUCCCCUUCCUGUCCUUACUCAUCGGUAAGUAGGAAGCCGGGAGUCUUGGCAGAAGGCGUGACUACCAAGAAGUGAGAUAAAAACAGUCGUGUCAGUUUGGGGCAGCAGGUCCGCUGUCCUGGCGAGGAUGAAAUGCACGAGGAUGAGCUGUGAAAUCCCGGUGGGGUCAUUUCAGCGAUUCCACAUAUGAGUUAAUGCUCUUCCACUGGCAUUUAAAACUGACAUUGCACAAUAGGACGAUGAAUAGUAAAAUUCAUGCUAAUCAUUUAACAUCUUCGUUUUUCUUUACUUAGAAUAACAUUUAGUAGUAAAUUAAAAACACCAUGACAAGACGAGACAGGGAUUAAAAGAAAGGAGAGACUUUUUAUUCCAUAUCUACACUGGCACUUUUUCCCUACUUUCUGGACAAGGGGCACCGUAUUGUGUUGCUGGCCCGGCUUGGAAGCUUGCUGUCAGGACGCUUCGUCUCAGAACCCAGUCGCCAUGUGGUGAGGACCCAACCCCCAGGGAAAGGGCGUGUGUGGGUGCCCCGGUCUACAGCCCUACCCAAGCCCAGCCUUUGAGUCACCCCAGCCGAGUGACAGAAAUAAACCUCCAGAGGAUUCCAUUCCCGCCUCUGCCGGCCUUCCCCACACCGCGCCCAAACUUCCAGACGCCUGCGUCGAGCCCAGCCCUCGUGGAGCAGAGAUAAGCCAUCCCCACUCGGCCCCGUUUGAAUUCCUGACCUCCAGAAUCGUGCGACUGGGCGAGUGCAAUGAGCAGAAAUAAACGGGCCGCAGUUUAUUCAUUUGGGUUGGUUCCAAUCUUUUGUGAACACAAAUGGAGCUGCAAUGACUAACUCUGUGUGUAUAAUCUGUACGUUCAGAGCAGAUUCCUGCAAAUGAGGAUUACCGUGUCAAAGGGGAAACGCGUACGUAAUUUUGUUAGCUGUUGCCGACAUCCUCUCUAAACUCUUCUUUUUCCCCAUGUAGCUUUCUUUGUGUUUACGGCAUAUUCGUUCACGUCUAACGCCCGCCCCCCGCAACAUACCUGUGUGCAAACAGAGAAACACACACGGAGAAAAAUGCGCAAAUAAACGGACAGCUUGACAGAUUUGCACAAACCAAACAUGUGUGUGUAAAUCUCACUUGGGUCCAGAAACGAACAUUCCUGGCACCCCAAAGCUGCCCUCGCC